ACUAAGACUAGCCCUAACACCCAUUAUUAUAAUUAUCACUUAAAUAUAAAUUAAAACAUUUAACCCAAUUAAAAGUAUUGGAGAAAGAAAUUUCACACAGGAGCUAUAGAAUAAGUACCGUAAGGGAAAGAUGAAAGACUAAUUUAAAGUAUAGAACAAGCAAAGAUAAGACCUUGUACCUUUUGCAUAAUGAGUUAACUAGAAACUACCUAGCUAAACGAAUUACAGCUAGAAGACCCGAAACCAAACGAGCUACCUAAAAAUAAUUUUAAGAAUCAACCCGUCUAUGUAGCAAAAUAGUGGGAAGAUUUUUAGGUAGAGGUGAAAAGCCUAACGAGCUUGGUGAUAGCUGGUUACCCAAAAAAUGAAUUUAAGUUCAACUUUAAACUUACCACAAGAAUAUAAAAUCCUAAUGUAAGUUUAAAUUAUAGCCAAAAGAGGGACAGCUCUUUAGGAAUGGAAAAAACCUUUAAUAGUGAAUAAACAACCACACAAUUUAACCAUUGUAGGCCUAAAAGCAGCCAUCAAUAAAGAAAGCGUUCAAGCUCAACAUUUAAACUUAAUAAUUUCACCAUUUAUAAUAAAUUCCUAUAUCAUAAAUUGGGUCAAUCUAUAACAUUAUAGAUGAGAUACUGUUAAUAUGAGUAACAAGAAUUAUUUCUCCAAGCACAAGUGUAUAACAACCCGGAUAACCAUUGUUAGUUAUAGGACCAUAGAUAAUAAACCCCAAUAAAACUAUCUAAUAUUUCAACCGUUAAUCCAACACAGGAGUGCUAUAAGGAAAGAUUAAAAAGAAUAAAAGGAACUCGGCAAACACGGACCCCGCCUGUUUACCAAAAACAUCACCUCUAGCAUAACAAGUAUUAGAGGCAUUGCCUGCCCAGUGACUUAGGUUAAACGGCCGCGGUAUCCUGACCGUGCAAAGGUAGCAUAAUCACUUGUUCCUUAAUUAGGGACUAGUAUGAAUGGCUAGACGAGGGUCCAACUGUCUCUUAUUCUCAAUCAGUGAAAUUGACCUUCCAGUGAAGAGGCUGGAAUAGCAUAAUAAGACGAGAAGACCCUAUGGAGCUUAAAUUAACUAGCUUAAUUAUUAAAACUAAUAACCUAAUGGAAUAAUAAAUAAAAAAAAUAAGCUAAUAAUUUCGGUUGGGGUGACCUCGGAGAAUAAAAAAACCUCCGAAUGAUUGUAGCAUAGAUUAACAAAUCAAGGCAACUUACCAAAUCUUAUUGACCCAAAAAUUUUGAUCAACGAACCAAGUUACCCUAGGGAUAACAGCGCAAUCCUAUUUAAGAGUUCAUAUCGACAAUUAGGGUUUACGACCUCGAUGUUGGAUCAGGACAUCCCAAUGGUGCAGAAGCUAUUAAUGGUUCGUUUGUUCAACGAUUAAAGUCCUACGUGAUCUGAGUUCAGACCGGAGUAAUCCAGGUCGGUUUCUAUCUAUUCACAAUUUUUCCCAGUACGAAAGGACAAGAAAAAUGGAGCCACCUUAAUAAUAAGCGCUCCAAGCCCAAUUUAUGAAUCAAAUCUUAAUAUAAUAUGCUCGUACAACAACCUUUCACCUAGACAAGGUU
rnacentral:rRNA from 1 species